rnacentral:rRNA from 1 species
UGGGGGACAACGUUUCGAAAGGAACGCUAAUACCGCAUACGUCCUACGGGAGAAAGCAGGGGACCUUCGGGCCUUGCGCUAUCAGAUGAGCCUAGGUCGGAUUAGCUAGUUGGUGGGGUAAUGGCUCACCAAGGCGACGAUCCGUAACUGGUCUGAGAGGAUGAUCAGUCACACUGGAACUGAGACACGGUCCAGACUCCUACGGGAGGCAGCAGUGGGGAAUAUUGGACAAUGGGCGAAAGCCUGAUCCAGCCAUGCCGCGUGUGUGAAGAAGGUCUUCGGAUUGUAAAGCACUUUAAGUUGGGAGGAAGGGCAGUAAGCUAAUACCUUGCUGUUUUGACGUUACCGACAGAAUAAGCACCGGCUAACUCUGUGCCAGCAGCCGCGGUAAUACAGAGGGUGCAAGCGUUAAUCGGAAUUACUGGGCGUAAAGCGCGCGUAGGUGGUUCGUUAAGUUGNAUGUGAAAGCCCCGGGCUCAACCUGGGAACUGCAUCCAAAACUGGCGAGCUAGAGUACGGUAGAGGGUGGUGGAAUUUCCUGUGUAGCGGUGAAAUGCGUA